rnacentral:rRNA from 1 species
UACGUAGGGGGCGAGCGUUGUCCGGAAUGAUUGGGCGUAAAGGGCGCGUAGGCGGCCGAGCAAGUCAGUAGUGGAAGUCCAAUUUUCAAGGUUGGAAGUGCUAUUGAAACUGCAGGGCUUGAGUGCAGGAGAGGUUAUCGGAAUUCCCGGUGUAGCGGUGAAAUGCGUAGAGAUCGGGAGGAACACCAGUGGCGAAGGCGGGUAACUGGACUGCAACUGACGCUGAGGCGCGAAAGUGUGGGGAGCAAAC